rnacentral:tRNA from 1 species
GGGGCUGUGACUCAGUGGAAGAGGCUCUGUUUUGCAUUCAGAAGGUCCCAGAUUCAAUCCCUGGCAUCUCCA